UACGUAGGGUGCUAGCGUUGUCCGGAUUUAUUGGGCGUAAAGAGCUCGUAGGCGGCUUUGUAAGUCGGGUGUGAAAACCCCAGGCUCAACCUGGGGACGCCACUCGAUACUGCAAUGGCUAGAGUCUGGUAGGGGGUCACGGAAUUCCUGGUGUAGCGGUGAAAUGCGCAGAUAUCAGGAGGAACACCGGUGGCGAAGGCGGUGGCCUGGGCCAGUACUGACGCUGAGGAGCGAAAGCGUGGGGAGCAAACAGG
rnacentral:rRNA from 1 species